rnacentral:rRNA from 1 species
AUUGAACGCUGGCGGCAGGCCUAACACAUGCAAGUCGAACGAGUGGCGGACGGGUGAGUAAUGUCUGGGAAACUGCCUGAUGGAGGGGGAUAACUACUGGAAACGGUAGCUAAUACCGCAUACCAUCGGAUGUGCCCAGAUCGGAUUGGCUUGUUUGUGGGGUAACGGCUCACCAAGGCGACGAUCCCUAGCUGGUCUGUGAGGAGGACCAGCCACACUGGGACUGAGACACGGUCCAGACUCCUACGGGAGGCAGCAGUGGGGAAUAGUGCACAAUGGGGGCAAGCGUGAUGCAGCCAUGCCGCGUGUAUGAAGAAGGCCUUCGGGUUGUAAAGUACUUUCAGCGGGGAGGAGUGAACCGAAGAAGAAGCACCGGCUAACUCCGUGCCAGCAGCCGCGGUAAUUG